AGAGAGAGAGAGCUCAGCUAGCUGGGGUGAGAGAAGACAUGUAGCUGCAAUAGGAUAUAUGAGGGAUGAAAGUUUACUCCAGGGAAAACAGGAGAGUGUCCAGGACAGAACAACUGAGAAACUCAACCUUAACCACCAGAUUUGGGUUGAUCAUGAUGCAAGGGACACCUGGUAUGGACCACCAAGACUCACUCUUGAAGAACAAGUCCCGAAGAACUAAUAAUGGUCAAGUUCAUUGGGCUUAUCGUGAAUGAAGGAUUAACAGCUAUAACUCAUGCUCAUAUAGCUACAAUAAUGGAAAACACUGAAUACAGACAGCCAUUUUGCAAGCCAAAUGAAGUUGGGUUUGGAAGGAGCCCAUGGAAUACAAUUAAAAUCGAGGGAAUAAGGGAACUUUGUAGAAC